GACGUAGGGCGCGAGCGUUGUCCGGAUUUAUUGGGCGUAAAGAGCUCGUAGGCGGCUUGUUGCGUCGGCUGUGAAAACCCGCGGCUUAACUGUGGGCUUGCAGCUAAUACGGGCAGGCUAGAGUUCGGUAGGGGAGACUGGAAUUCCUGGUGUAGCGGUGAAAUGCGCAGAUAUCAGGAGGAACACCGGUGGCGAAGGCGGAUCUCUGGGCCAUUACUGACGCUGAGGAGCGAAAGCGUGGGGAGCGAACAGG
rnacentral:rRNA from 1 species